rnacentral:rRNA from 1 species
UACGGAGGGUGCAAGCGUUAUCCGGAUUCACUGGGUUUAAAGGGUGCGUAGGCGGGCAGAUAAGUCAGUGGUGAAAUCUCCGAGCUUAACUCGGAAACUGCCUUGGAUACUAUAAGUCUUGAAUGACGUUGAGGUUAGCGGAAUAUGUCAUGUAGCGGUGAAAUGCUUAGAUAUGACAUAGAACAUCUAUUGCGAAGGCAGCUAACUAAGCGUAUAUUGACGCUGAUGCACGAAAGCGUGGGGAUCAAACAGG